rnacentral:rRNA from 1 species
UACGUAGGGGGCAAGCGUUAUCCGGAUUUACUGGGUGUAAAGGGAGCGUAGACGGCAAUGCAAGUCUGGAGUGAAAGGCGGGGGCCCAACCCCCGGACUGCUCUGGAAACUGUAUAGCUGGAGUACAGUAGAGGUGGGCGGAAUUCGUGGUGUAGCGGUGAAAUGCUUAGAUAUCACGAAGAACUCCGAUUGCGAAGGCAGCUCACUGGACUGCAACUGACACUGAGGCUCGAAAGUGUGGGUAUCAAACAGG